rnacentral:lncRNA from 1 species
CAGCACUGUCUGGAGCACUGGCCCCCCUGCUGUGGCAGGAAGGGCAAGGAGCAAGGGCUAACCCACACCAAACACCAACCCCAGCACCGUGUCGGGGCCACUGCCAGCUGCAAGUGCCUGGACUCUGCCCUAUUGCCUUCCUGUCCCCAAGCUGGGCUGUGGAUGUCACCUGCAGCAGCCGCUUGUUGCCAUGUGCAUCAUGAUCCCAUGGGAUGUUUGCCACCUUCUGCUCCCCAUUUCCUACCAUGUGUAUCCAGGAGAGAUACACACAUGCAUCCUUGGCCCACAGGAAACCAUUCACACUAAAGCCAGGCUGCAGCUCCACAAAGCUGCUCCAUUCCCAGGAGCACCGGCUCCUAACUCCCAGCAUGUGCGUUCCCAUACACAAAGGGACUCCAGACCAGAAGCCAUCUGGCCGCACCCAAUUCCCCUUCUCCAGAACAUCCAUGGAACUGCUCUGAUCAAGGGAAGGAGCCAACCAUCCAGCUGCAGCUCCACCUUCCCAGCACUGCCAGAUGUGCCUCCACGUUGUGUUGCACCUGCAACCCACUCUGGAGCAUUUUUCAUCCUUUCCAAACGUGAAAAGACUGGCCAUCUGUCUGGAUCCCCCUCCCGCCAAAGCAGCACGAAAGCGGCUCUUUGGGAAAGGUGAUCCAGCCAAGGUGCUGCCUGUGCCAGGGCUGCUCUGCCAAGCUAACGUACGU